UACGUAGGGGGCGAGCGUUGUCCGGAAUCAUUGGGCGUAAAGCGCGUGUAGGCGGUCCGGUAAGUCCGCUGUGAAAGUCGGGGGCUCAACCCUCGGAUGCCGGUGGAUACUGUCGGGCUUGAGUACGGAAGAGGCGAGUGGAAUUCCUGGUGUAACGGUGAAAUGCGCAGAUAUCAGGAGGAACACCAAUUGCGAAGGCAGCUCGCUGGGACGUUACUGACGCUGAGACGCGAAAGCGUGGGGAGCAAACAGG
rnacentral:rRNA from 1 species